rnacentral:sRNA from 1 species
AUUGCUCCGUCCGCCCUUCUUUCCCCUUUUUCCAGUCCAUUUUUUCCUCUUCUUUUUCCCUUCUCCCUUCGGUACUUUGCCGCGUGUGCAGCGCACAGGCUCUCGAGCCUCGCCAACCAAGCUCCUAGCCAUUUGAUUGGUUGCCGCAGCCGGAUAUUUCCACAUGGUUACCGGUAAAGUAGUAUGACGCCGUUGAACUUGGUUAAUCGCGAAUUUUCGGCAUUUUUCAUGUGGCACUAUCGCAAUUGAUACCGACGACGCGACGCGUCAUGUAUCGUGUGUGUGCUGUGCUUUCAGUUUGUGGACUGCGCGGUCGUAUACACUUGGCUAAUCGAUUGAUCUCUUUAAUAAUGCUGACACUCCGCUGAUCUUUGCGAUAGGCUUUCUGCACGCUCUGCCUUCUGUUCGACGUUUGUUCCCGUUAAACAGUUCAGCCAAUACAUCCAGAUUUGUAUGGUAGGAUCCGUUUCACUUGCUACUCGGAGUAAGGCCAUUCAGCGUGUGCGAGUUACGUUUCGGUUUUUCGGUACAGACCGACAGGGCUGCAUAAUAUUGAAGGCCGUUCACUGUUCGCAGAAGAAUAAAGACUGCUUGGAUCGAUGGAGGCUCAAGGGCAAAAUGAGACACAAGCUCCGGAUGAUGCCAUGUAGCCGCGCCACUGUUCUCGAACAGAAAGCUUUUGCUGCUUCUGCGGACGCUUAACCACGAUUAAAUCUAACGAGAAACUUGGAAGCUGUAAACCCAGUGAAGUGUAAUGAGUUCGCAUGGGAACUUCGAGAAGACACCAAGAGAAGUAGUGAGGAUAUGAAAGUUGAAUCUCAUUUCGUCUAUAAGACGGAAGAGCUCUUUCAAACUCUUUACAUAUCUUUCCUAUAAAUAAAUCUUUAAGCUGACCGAUAUUUUUCAUCUCUCGAUCAGCCUUUCCCCUUUUUGUCUCAGUCUCUGAUCUUUUGGCCCCUCUUGUUCUGAUUUUUUUCCGCUACUUUCCUUCUCUCCCCCUCCUCCCUCUCUUUUUCCUCUCUCCUCCGAAUAAUCCUAAGCAUCCCUAUUGUCUCCUCCAUCUCUUUCUUUGGCCUGCUUCUUUCCCUCCGCUAAACUACGCUCUUUCUUUCCUCUCCUUCCCUUACAUGACUGCGAAGAAGAGGUCAGCAAUGAUGAUCAAUUAGCAAACGUCGACUGAAGAUUACUGCAAAUUUGGUAGUUAAGAAAAUGUUUGAUGUGAGUAUUGGAGCACUUGAAAUGCAU